rnacentral:rRNA from 1 species
GAUCAUGGCUCAGGACGAACGCUGGCGGCGUGCCUAAUACAUGCAAGUAGAACGCUGAAAAGAGGAGCUUGCUCUUCUUGGAUGAGUUGCGAACGGGUGAGUAACGCGUAGGUAACCUGCCUUGUAGCGGGGGAUAACUAUUGGAAACGAUAGCUAAUACCGCAUAACAAUGGAUGACACAUGUCAUUUAUUUGAAAGGGGCAAUUGCUCCACUACAAGAUGGACCUGCGUUGUA